rnacentral:rRNA from 1 species
GAGGCAAUAACAGGUCUGUGAUGCCCUUAGAUGUUCUGGGCUGCACGCGCGCUACACUGACAGAGGCAACGAGUUUCUUUCCUUGGCCGGAAGGCCUGGGUAAUCUUGUUAAACUCUGUCGUGCUGGGGAUAGAGCAUUGCAAUUAUUGCUCUUCAACGAGGAAUGCCUAGUAAGCGCGUGUCAUCAGCAUGCGUUGAUUACGUCCCUGCCCUUUGUACACACCGCCCGUCGCUACUACCGAUUGAAUGGCUCAGUGAGGCCUCCGGACUGGCUCAGGGAGGUUGGCAACGACCACCCAGGGCCGGGAAGCUGGUCAAACUUGGUCAUUUAGAGGAAGUAAAAGUCGUAACAAGGUUUCCGUAGGUGAACCUGCGGAAGGAUCAUUACUGAGAGUAACCUGGCUCCGUUUUUUUCGGUGGCCGGCUACCUGUCCUUUUGUCAUUUGGAUCUGUUAGUCGAAGGGAGGGAGGGCGAUUUUGGCUCUUUUUCUCUCUGAGACGAAGCAUGAAUCACUUCCCAGGAGGUGUUGCGAAGGCCUCUUUUGAGUCCUGCCCACAGAGGGGCGGGAGGAGGGGAGGACGAGCGACCGCCUGGGGUGUAUCAAAACUCUUUGCGAGAAAGUGUGAAGGUCUGAAGUGAUGUAUUAAAAAGAAGCAAAACUUUCAACAACGGAUCUCUUGGCUCUGGCAACGAUGAAGAACGCAGCGAAACGCGAAAGGUAAUGCGAAUUGCAGAAUCAGUGAGUCAUCGAAUCUUUGAACGCACAUUGCGCCUCCUGGUAUUCCGGGAGGCACGCCUGUUCGAGCGCCAUUACACACUCCAAGCAUGGCUUGAUGUUGGAUGAUGCGGGCCCGUUGUUGAGGGGCCGCACGUCUGGAACGUGUGGGCGUCCUGUCUGACGAGACACCGCGAGCGUAGCAAGAUGUUUUCUUUCUUUUCCUUUUGGGGGAAAAAGGGUCAUUUUCGCUCUGUCGGGACUCCAGGGGGACAGCCGUAAUUUGUGUGUUCACUUGAAAGAGUUGGGACGCGCAUGUACAAGAGUUUGGCCUCGGAUCAGGCGGGGAUACCCGCUGAACUUAAGCAUAUCAAUAAGCGGAGGAAAAGAAACCAACAGGGAUUGCCUCAGUAACGGCGAGUGAAGCGGCAACAGCUCAAAUUUGAAAUCUGGCGCCUUCGGCGUCCGAGUUGUAAUUUGUAGAGGGAGUCUCGGGUUAGGGGUCGGUCCAAGUUCCUUGGAACAGGAUGCCGAAGAGGGUGAGAGUCCCGUAUCCGGCCGAGGCCCGCGCCCGUGUGAGGCCCCUUCGACGAGUCGAGUUGUUUGGGAAUGCAGCUCUAAAUGGGUGGUAAAUUCCAUCUAAAGCUAAAUACUGGCCAGAGACCGAUAGCGCACAAGUAGAGUGAUCGAAAGAUGAAAAGCACUUUGAAAAGAGAGUCAAACAGUACGUGAAAUUGUUGAAAGGGAAGCGUAUGUGGGCAGACUUGGACGUUGGAUUCAGCCCGUCUUCUGGCGGGUGUACUUUCCAGCGGACAGGCCAGCAUCGGUUCUGAGGGUCGGACAAAGACGAAGGGAAAGUGGCUCUCAGAUAUGGGAGUGUUAUAGCCCGGCGUGCAAUGCGACCACUUGGGACCGAGGACCGCGCUUCGGCAAGGAUGCUGGCGUAAUGGCCUCAUACGGCCCGUCUUGAAACACGGACC